GGAUUAGAUACCCUGGUAGUCCACGCCGUAAACGAUCAUCACUCGCUGUUGGCGAUACACAGUCAGCGGCCAAGCGAAAGCAUUAAGUGAUGCACCUGGGAAGUACGGUCGCAAGACUGAAACUCAAAGGAAUUGACGGGGGCCCGCACAAGCGGUGGAGCAUGUGGUUUAAUUCGAUGAUACGCGAGGAACCUUACCAGGGCUUAAAUGCAGAAUGACAGGACCAGAGAUGGUUUUUUCUUCGGACAUUUUGCAAGGUGCUGCAUGGUUGUCGUCAGCUCGUGCCG
rnacentral:rRNA from 1 species